GUCUACGGCCACGCCACCCCGAACGAGCCCCAUGUCUGGUCUCAGAAGCUAAGCAGGGUCAGGCCUGGUGAGUACUUGGAUGGGAGAUCACCCAGGAAGACCAGGUGCUGUAGGUG
rnacentral:rRNA from 1 species